CCAACAGGGAUUGCCUCAGUAACGGCGAGCUGAAGCGGCUACAGCUCAAAUUUGAAAUCUGGCUCUUUCAGGAUCCGAGAUUGUAAUUUGUAGAGAGAUGCUUCGGCGUGGGCUCCGGUCUAAGUUCCUUGGAACAGGACGUCAUAGAGGGUGAGAAUCCCGUAUGUGAUCGGUUGCCUUUGCCAUGUGAAGCUCCUUCGACGAGUCGAGUUGUUUGGGAAUGCAGCUCUAAAUGGGAGGUAAAUUUCUUCUAAAGCUAAAUACUGGCCAGAGACCGAUAGCGCACAAGUAGAGUGAUCGAAAGAUGAAAAGCACUUUGGAAAGAGAGUCAAAAAGUACGUGAAAUUGUUGAAAGGGAAGCGCUUGCAACCAGACCUGCCUGCAGUUGCUCAUCCGGGCUUUUGCCCGGUGCACUCUUCUGCUGUCAGGCCAGCAUCGGUUCGGGCGGUCGGAUAAAGGCUUCGGGAAUGUAGCUCCUCUCGAGGAGUGUUAUAGCCCGUUGCGAAAUGCGGCCAGCCUGAACCUGAGGUCCGCGCUUCGGCUAGGAUGCUGGCGUAAUGGUUGU
rnacentral:rRNA from 1 species